CUCCUCUGAAGUUUCAUACUGAGCCCAGGAUAUGGAGCGCUACACGCUAAAAUAGUUGUUUAUGAACGCGAUGGAGACCUAGCGGUGUUAAGGAGAAUGCAAGGAAGCAAUCUUUUUCAUCUGUCUGUGAGCAGGAGUUUAAAGCCUGUUGUGGAGGGAAGAAAGAUGAAAUGCACAGAGCGGGGAGCACCUGAUCCCGGUUCUUCAUACACAAAUGCAUUUAUUUGCUCAUCUGGGAAACAGCAGCUUUGUGAGCAGGGAUGAAGGAUGUGGAUGGUGCUGUCCCUGCUGGAUAUCCUGGUCCUUGCAGAGCCCCAGGGGGCAGAGGCAGAUGUUCAGCAGCAAGGUGCUGCCUGCGUCUUUGUCUGCAGAGGCACUCAUUUCAGUCUCUCGCCUUUAAUUUGCCCAGAUGUUGAUUUUAAUUAAGCUCCUCAAGUUUCACGGUCUUUGAGAUCUCUUUCACUCUGUCAAUUUGUGUUGAAGCUGACAGGCAGCGUGAUCACAGACCUGCUUCUUCCUAAAUUCAGGCUAAUGUACGUGAGCAAAUGUGACUAUUUCCAAGCAGGGUUAAUGCAUUCACCUGGGGUGUGAGAUAUCAGCCAUGUCGCAUGUUAUCCAUCUGACCUUGAAUCUGGGAGUGCCAUAUGCUCGCUGAUGCUGGUAGCAAUUUUUUUCCCCUCGUUCACUUCAGUGGGUGUCUGAUCAGGGUCUUAAUCUGUGUGUGCCUGUAAUCCCAAUCAGCAAAUGGGCACACUCUUCGCUUUAUUUAAAAUACAAGCUUCUCAUGAUUGUCCUUUGUGCAAAUUCCAGGACAAUGUGGGGGUGGACGCCGCUUUCUGGAUCACCUGUUCCCAAUAAUGAAGACAAAGCCUUGCCACCCAUGCCUUAGGGAUGCUCCUAUUGGGGGUUUUCAGAGCAUGCCCAUGUCUUAUAAUUGUAGUAGCGUGCCUCCAUGGCCAUGUCUUACAGUUGUAUACCUAGUGUGCCCAAGGCAGAGAGCAUAACCCAGGGAAUAAGUUGGCCUUGUUCAGUGGGACAUACCUCCUCUAGCACUCAAGCAACUAUCUCCAUCUUUGUCUUUUCUGAGCGUGAUCAAUCUUUGCAAGAAUGUUUUAAGAAUAUUCUCUUUAAAUUUCCCAUGGAGAAAAAUGGUUAAUUUUGCUGGAGGAAACCUAGAGAAUAUUAGUGGCUUUAAAAAGUACUGAAAGAGAAGAGGGAGAAUGAUGACAAUACCAAAAAUUCCAAUUAACACUUUUGGAAAGAAAUCUGUUCUCCUCAGAUGUGUUUCUCUGAUCUUUUGACUGAGACCUGUGUCGUGGGUCUGAAUGCUGGUAUCUCUGCUCUUUCCAUAUACAGUGUGUCCCUGGCCUGGUUAUUUGAAUUCCCUAAGCCAGAAACUGCUUCAUUCAUUGCAGAUAUGUCAGCUCUGCUCCAGGCUCUGUAAUAAUAACUCUUUCACUUCAGCUGAUGAGAUCUAGAUAUCAAUCUUGCUGAGGUCACCAAAGGAAAAAAAAAAAAUGAGCUUGGUCACUUCUCCAUUGAAGAUUCAACAUGAGCCAUUUAUCUUCACCUAGGGGGUCUUGUUUUAUCUGAAUUGCACAAAAAAAAAAAAAAAAAGCACAUCUGAGAUUUCUCUGAGAUAAAAAAAAAAAACCCUCCUUGACACCAUUCAUUUUUGGUACCUACAAUGUCAUAGGGAUGAAGUAGCAAAAAGCAUCUUGCUUUAUUAAUGCCAACCAUGUCUGUUAGAAAGAAGCUAUGAGUCUGACCUGAGCUCUCCUCAAAUGCAAAGAACAAAAUCCCAGUACCCAGAGAUGUUACACAGAGCCUGUAACAGCCUUUUCUCUGGUGCUUGCUAAUACUGAGCGGAGAAAACGGAGUAAAUGAAUUCAAGUCUGUUUAUCCCCAUCUGGUUAGAUGAUGUGUUAUUGGCAGGCCUGGCUGAAUUUGCUUUGUGUGGCACCUUAUACAAGACACCUAAGGCAUAUGUCUUCCAGAUAAAAGCCAAGUCCCCUGAUUAAAGGGUCGAAGCAGAGUGCUGACAGUAGGAAGAUGAAGCAAGCUGUUACUGAGCUCUGCAGAGGGAUGGGAGUGGAGAUUUCAGAGCAAGACAGUGAAAAGCUGAGAAAAGAUGCAUUUCUUCCAGGCAGAGAUACACACACUGCUGAAUGAGACUCAAAAUCCUACCUCCAUUCACCUCCAAAAUACAAACCAGAGAGAAACUCCCACCAGGGCGCAAGUUUGAACAUAGGGAAGCUGUGGGGCAGUGCUGUGCUGCGCUCCUGAAGUGGGUCCUAUGGAUGUCACCAGUCUACCAGUUGUCUCUGCCACCACCUUUCCAUCCUUCCUCACUCCCAUCCUCAGGCAGGCUGUGAGGAAUGCAGGUCAUGAGCACAUGGGAUUUGGGCUGACCCAAGAAAGGUACCAACCAUCAUUAGAUGGC